AUAAAUAAACCUUGAUUUCCUUUCCUUGUCUUUCAGUUUGGGUGAUUUGGAAGAGUGUGCUGUAUGCUAAGCAACGCUGAGCUCUAGCCACCUUGAGUGAGAACCAGUGGCCUGUGUCAGGAGGUCAUACAAGGCAAAUUAAAGAAGAAAUCUUCUGAUGUGGUGGACAUGUUUGACCUCGGACAUAGCAACUCAAAAAUCUCCCUGAUGGCCUCUUUGCCACUAAAAAAACAGAUACUGGUUCCCCGCUCCCAUGGUUAAGAAGGAAGCUGGAAGAAAUUGCAGAAGAGUUUUCAAAGCUGUGAGUGAACCUUGUCAAAACCCAGAGGAAGAGUCUCAGGGAAACAGAGGUCAUGAAAUGUCAAAGAUGGAAAUUCAUUGAGGAUGCUUUCUGGCUCUGAAUAUUUCAACCUCUCUAAGAUGAGAAGG
rnacentral:lncRNA from 1 species